CUCAGCGGCCCCGUCCCGCCUCACCUCCACCACGCGCUGCACACCUCCGUCCACGAGGGCCUCGGAGACGAACGUUCAAGCUGCCGCUUCUCAGGGCCCCUCUCCCCUUCUCACGCACAACCACUGCCCUGGCGCUCGCGGGAAGACAGGGCAAGAGCAGCCCCCGGAGCGCUGCACGUCAGGUACAGAAGUCAACGCUGGUCCCCACCACGAGAUGUUCUGUCUUCCCUGCUACAACAGGCUGCCUGCCCCGAAAGCACAGUCACUAACAAGAAAACUGAUACGGACUCGCUCCCAAGACACAAACACUCCUGACGGCCAACAAGGAAGCCAACAACUCAGUCAGAAAUGGACAGAGACCUGGACAGCUCACCAAACAUGUGCUGCUGUCACAGAUGCUCCUAGCCCACGAUCAGAGAGGGACAAACUCAAGAACACUCCGACCGCAUCAGAAGGGCUCCCAUCCAGAGCACUGGUACCAAGUGCCAGCAGUGACAGGGAACAGCGCGAGUGCUCACCCACCGCAGGUGGCAGUGCAGGCGGCCCGGCCCCAUGGGAGGCGGUGCAGGUCUCCGAUGGAGUUACACACGCUCCUUCCUGUGAUCCAACAGCGUGCUCCCUGGUGCUCCCCUACAUGAACGGCAACUCAACUACUGUAAUUUCCCAAACUCAACCACCAAGAUGCCCUUUGUGGUGCAUCCAUGCAAUGAGCUGUAAUUCAGGGAAGAGUGAAGUAAACCCCCAGCCACGGAAAGACAUGGAAGAAUUUAAAAUGCAUGUUGGAAAGCGAAAGAAGUGGUCUGAACAGGCUGUGUAUGCGCCACCCUGGUAGGACGGUUCUGGAUUUCUGGAGGGGAGGAGCA